CGUCGCUCUGCGCCCACCUCCCCACUCGGGGAAGGGGGAUGCGGCGCGGAGAUUGGUCUCCCGUGUGCAUUGGCGCGCGGAUGGCUAAAAUGGGAUCCCUCGGCAACGCACGUCAUGGCCAUUGGUGGUUGAUCAGUUGACUCGUGUGUGGUCGUGCUCCUCUGUGUCGCUAUUGAGGACCUCUUAACCCAAUGGCGCAUGGCGCCAGCUUUU
rnacentral:misc_RNA from 1 species